rnacentral:rRNA from 1 species
GACGAACGCUGGCGGCGUGCUUAACACAUGCAAGUCGAACGGUAAGGCCCUUCGGGGUACACGAGUGGCGAACGGGUGAGUAACACGUGGGUGAUCUGCCCUGCACUUCGGGAUAAGCCUGGGAAACUGGGUCUAAUACCGGAUAGGACCCUGGGAUGCAUUGCCUGGGGCGGAAAGCUUUUGCGGUGUGGGAUGGGCCCGCGGCGUAUCAGCUUGUUGGUGGGGUGAUGGACUACCAAGGCGACGACGGGUAGCAGGGCUGAGAGGGUGACCGGCCACACUGGGACUGAGAUACGGCCCAGACUCCUACGGGAGGCAGCAGUGGGGAAUAUUGCACAAUGGGCGCAAGCCUGAUGCAGCGACGCCGCGUGAGGGAUGACGGCCUUCGGGUUGUAAACCUCUUUCAGCACCGACGAAGCGCAAGUGACGGUAGGUGCAGAAGAAGGACCGGCCAACUACGUGCCAGCCGCCGCCGUAA